UUCCUCAUUGUCACUCCCAGUUUUCUGAGAUGUUGUCCUCUGCCAGUCACCUCCUCUCUUCCACCAAACUCAGGACCAUUGGGCAGAGUAGACACUUAUUGAAGAGCUUGUGAUAAAAUAUGGUAAAACAGCACAUUAUGAAUGAGCCUUGGACUUGAACACUAGGCAUCAUGAUCCUUGACCAGCUCCUUGACAGAGAAUUUAUUACUGGCCACUUUUCCCCCAAAGGAUCCUCUCUGUGACCAUUUUCGUUGCCCUCUUUUCAGCACUUCUCUGAUUUCAUAUUUCUAAUAGAAUUGUAUUGAAUAGGUCUGUGCAAAUAUAAUUGAACAACUAUACUAAAAUGUGGUCUCUGCCAUUUUUAUUUCAUACUAUACCCUUUCUCCAGUCCACAAAUGGGAAUAAAUAAUUUUUAAAGAAAAGUAGAUGUUUUAUCUGUGUAAUCCAUUCACAUCAUAGUUUUAGUUUGGCAGUAUAAAUAUGAAAUGACUAUAUUUUCUCCAACACCUCCUUCCCCAACUCGUCUGUGUUACAGUCCCCAUUUCAAUGUCUUAGUACAUAACGCAGAGAAUCUGUACCAACUUUAGCUGUUAAGAUGGGGUGUGAUCUUCAUCUCUUCUCAGUUCCCUGGCUGAGAAAACCACACUUGUGGCUUGUGGCUUGGGGGUUUCCUUUCCUGGGCCACUGUUUGCAAAAGUUAAACCAUUGAGAGUAAGCUAUGGCUGCUAGAGGUCAGUGAAAGCAGUACUGUUCUUCAAAGAAAACAACUUUCCAAGGGUCUAGUGCAAUGUGUUGCUGUGCUUUUUGAAAGGAAAUUCAACUGUACAGUGGAAUUUUGUUUUUAAAAGCUGCACCUGCAGCAGAUGGAAGUUCCCAGGCUAGGGACUGAAUCAGAGCUGCAGCUGCUGGCCUACAGCCACAGCAACAGUGGAUCUGAGCCAUAUCCAUGACCUAGGCUGCAGCUUGUAGCAACACUGGAUCCUUAACCCACUGAGUGAGACCAGGAUACACUUAUAGGUAAGAAAAACUUCAAUUAAGAGGAAAAUCCUGGAGUUCCCAUAGUGACUCAGUGGAAACGAAUCUGGCUAGCAUCCAUGAGGACUCAGGUUCAAUCCCUGGUCUUGCUCAGUGGGUUAAGGAUCAAGCACUGCCGUGAGCUAUGGCAUAGGUCACAGAUGCAGCUCGGAUCCUGCAUUGCUGUGGCUGCGGUGUGGGCCAGCGGCUACAGCUCUGAUUCUACCGUUAGCCUGGGACCCUCCACAAGCCAUGGGUGCACCCCUAGAAAGAUUUUUUAAAAAAAGGAAAAUCCUGGGGUUCCCUUCACGGCGCAGUGGAACAAAUCCAACCAAUAUCCAUGAGGAUGAGGGUUCAGUCCCUGGCCCCGCUCAGGGGGUUUGGGAUUAAGCAUUUCCAUGGUUCAGGGCCCGUGUUGCUGUGGCUGUGGUGUAGGCCAGCAGCUGUAGCUCUGAUUCCUAGCCUGGGAACUUCCAUAUUCAAAGUCAACUAUUGAUAGAUGAGAAUUUGUGGGUAAAGGCUCUGGAGUGUCCUUGACUAGGGGAGGUGCCAAAGGGCCUGUGCAUUUAAUGUGUGGUUUGACUAAUACAGCAGUCCCAGAAUAGCCACAAGAGUUCUGGAUCCCCCCCUGCAAAAGAAUAAGGCUAAGAAUGAAGGGGAAGCAGAAUGCUGAGAAAGGGGUCAAACCAGAUAUGUAGGGAAAGAUGGAAAAAGGAUUGACCGGAGCUUGAGCCAUAAAAUAACCUGGAGCAUUCAAGUCAUUGGUUAGGAUAAUAGAACAGAAAGAUAGCAGGAGAGCUUUCUUUGUGGAGCUGUGACCUCUUAUCUAGAUUGUUUCCCUAUUAGAUUUCUUGUAUAUUUGAGGAUAUCUUAUAAGCCGUUGUUUGGGGGGCUUUUCUGUGAUACACGACCCUACCUAAUAUGAACAAAUACAUACAUAUUUUAAUUUAGAACUGAUGAGUCUGGCAAUCGGAACAUAGGAAUAUACAAGACAGCUUCUGUUCUUAUGAAAUUUUCUGUAUAAUGGGAAACAGACAAUGUAAUGAGUAACAAUGAUGGAACAUGAAAGUGUUCUAAUAAGGAACUUAGAGUUCUGAGCACAUAGAGCAGGAGUGUUAAAUACAAGGAUGAGCUUGGCUCUCCUAGAGGAAAAUACGAUGGGUUUAUAAAUUCCAUGGUUAAGAAUUGAGAGAUACACCCUUAAUACUUGAUAUCUAAUGCUGAUAAGUCACACUUGAAGACGAAGUUCCCGGCCAGACUUGUAAGAAAAGCAGUUUUUUCUACCUCCUGUGAUGAAUUUGUGUUGAUUUAUCUAUCUCCCUCCCACACUCUUUUUCCAGAUUCUUCUUUUACCUGUAGUUUAUACUUGCAGUUGCAUACCAUCUGAAUCAGAAUGUGGAUCAUUGCCUGUUGAAGAAGUGGGCUCUAACCCAAACUGUGGAGUGACAGUGGUAUAGACCAGAGCAACUGUGCCAUGCUUCUUGUUGGGGAUCCUUUUAAGGUGCCCUCAAGUUAACUUGCUGAGCAAAUAUAGAAGGAUUUUUUAUUUUGCAAAUAUAGAAGCAAAUCAGUCUCCUUCUUAAAUAUAAACUCCUUUAUGGCCCAUGAGUAUUAUUUAGCUUAGAGCCAGUACUGAUCAAAACCACAUUUCAAAGAAGGGUAAAUAUGCUUCUGGUAACAUCCCCUUAAGAAAGUAACUGCUAGGAAAAAAAAAUAGUGUUAAGAAGUCUUUUCAGAACAAAGUACUAUAUCCCUAAACUUAUUUCAGGAACAAAAUUCUAUUUGGUUGAUAUGUUUGAGACAACCUAGCCCUGUUCCCAGAACAAUGUGCAAUGGUGUAAGAGUACAAUUUUUUUUUCAGCUGCACCCAUGGCAUAUGGAAGUUCCGAGGCCACGGAAGAAAUCUGAGCUAGAGUUGCAACUUAAGCCAUAGCUGCAGCAACACUGGACCCUUAACCCACUGUGCCAGUGGGUACCAUUUCUUAAUGGGCCAUUAGAUGUUCUAGGUUAUACAUAUAAUUAAUCAUUUUGUUGUUCUCCUAUAAUUACACAAUUAAUGGAGAAAAACUCCUCUAUAUUUCAAACACUAGUCUGAGAAAACAGCUGGCUCUGCAUCAGAGCACUAUAGGACAGCAAAAGCUCUGAGUAGGGAAUUCUGUUCAUUAACUGAGAUGUUGAGGCAGAAGGUGUAGUUAUUGUCCCUGCUUACAGUUUUAAUUAUAUAUUUGAAGAGAACAGAAACAAUCAGGUGGCAAAUUUUACUUCAGUAUUAAAAAUGGAAUACCAGCUCCCUAAAAUCAGAACAUAGACAUUGGGUGAUCGGAUGAAUAAUUUAAGACUGAUUUGUUAACUGGCAGGAGUGAAGUUAGCCGUGCAGAGAGACACACUGUCAUUUGCCAGCAAUUUACUAUGUUUUUGAAAACCACAGGCAGCAAUUUACAGAAAAGAUUAGGCCAGUUACUGAACAUGGGUGACAUUUUCUUGAGUUAAGCUGUCAAUCUGGAAAGUCGUUCACUGACAACUGGCGUUUGGAAUGAGGUUAUAAAGUUUAUGAAGAACUACUUUUACCUGAGAAUGUCUCUACUUCAGCUCUGGGGGACCCCUGAAUCACACCUCCUGCCAGGAUUCAACGUGCAUAUGCAAAUGAGGACUGUCAGGGUGGUGCACCUGCUCCCAGAACCAUUAAGCACUCACUGCUCUAAUGCACUUGUCCAUGAGAAAGCAUGUGAUGGGCUUUGUUCCUUAGAGCUGAUAUUGUUUCAAGGAAGACACAAUGAACGCAUUUUAUUUAACCUAAGCCAUCUUGAUAAUAAAAUUAAUCCUGCACAAGAAUUCUUAUCUUUUUAGUUGCUUUUCAAAAGAAUAUGGUAUGAGCAAAGUAGAAAGUUACCCUUGGCUACCACAGUAAUAACUGCUGCAGGGCAAGAUCCACUGAUGAAUGAUAACAUUAAUGGGCAGAACUCCAAGGAGAAACUGGGCUGUCUGCAUAGCCUCAAAGUACCUACCUCAAACAUUUACUAAUUACUGUGUGGGUUUUAACCCAUGUCUACCGAUUGUUUUUAUAUUCACCUCCCGCCUAGGAGUUGAAACUUAGUAUUUCUUCCUUUCACUAUGGACUGAAUUUAGCAAGCUGCAUCCAAAGAACAAAGCAUGAAAAGAGGGAAAUGGGAAUUUGACUGUGGAGAAACUCUAUUAAACAGAACCUUAACCAAAUGACCCAGGUUGGUAUCAUGUACUUCAUGACAUGAUGUGAUGAGCUGGGCACUUCAUCUCUGUGCUCUCCUUCCCCCCAGUUUAUAAUCCUCUCUAAUUAUGAGGAAACAUCAGAAGACCCAAACGAAGGCUAUCCUACAUAAUAUCCAGGAUUCUUCAAAAAUCUCUAUGCCAAGUUUAUAAAAAUCAAGUAAAGACUGAAAUACUGUAACAGAUUAGAGAUGCAACUGAGUUAACUAAAUAAAACUCGGUAUCCUAGGUUGGAUCCUGGAACAACAACAAUAAAUAUUAAAACAGGUAUUAGUGGCAAAAUACAAAUAAAAUCUCUAGCUUAGUUAACAGAAUUUUACCAAUAUUUUUGCUUACACUGAGAACUCUACCCAAUAUUCUGUGAUAAUCUAUGUGGGAACAGAAUCUGAAAGGGAAUGGAUGUGUGUAUGUGUAUGACUGAUUGCAUAGCAGAAAUGAUCACAACCUUGUAAAUAAACUAUACUUCAAUAAAACUUAAAAAAAUAAGGUAGAAGCAGGCAUUUCAGUUGCUAGUUUACAACUGAAAACAUUGUUUUGAUAGACAAUAGUUAUGAAAGUUAACAUUAGUAGCAGAGUGAAAGUAGAUGAGAAUCCUCUGUACUAUCUUUGAAACUUUCUCUGUACCUAAAAGUAUUUCAGGAGUUCCCAUUGUGGUGCAGCAAAAAUGAAUCUGACUAGUACCCAUGAUGAUGUGGGUUCAAUCCUUGGCCUCACUCAGUGGGUCGGGGAUCUGCCAUUGCCGUGCUGUGGUGUAGUUCACAGAAGAGGCUCAGAUCCCUCGUUGCUAUGGCUGUGGUGUAGGCUGGCAGCUGCAGCACCCAUUCGACCUCUAGCCUGGGAACUUCCAUAUGCCAUGG
rnacentral:lncRNA from 1 species